rnacentral:rRNA from 1 species
CGGCAUGUCUAGUACGGCGAGUGAGCGGCACAGCUCAAUUUGAAAUCUGGCUCUUUUAGAGUCCGAGUUGAAAAAGCAGAGGGCGCUUUGGCUUUGGCAGCGGUCCAAGUUCCUUGGAACAGGACGUCACAGAGGGUGAGAAUCCCGUACGUGGUCGCUGGCUAUUGCCGUGUAAAGCCCCUUCCACGAGUCGAGUUGUUUGGGAAUGCACCUCCUAAUGGGGGGACAUUUCUUCUAAAGCUAAAUAUUGGGCAGAGACCGAUAGCGCACAAUAGAGUGGAUCGAAAGAAGAAAAGACUUUUGGAAAGAGAAGCAAACAACACGUGAAAUUGUUUGAAAGGGAAACGCUUGCAGCAGAACUUGCUUACAGUUGUUCUUCCGGGUUUUUUCCCGGUGCACUCUUUCUGUAUGAAGGCACCUCAUUUGGGCGGGAGGAAAAAAGAGUCUGUCACGUCCUCCUUUCUGGAGGCCUUAUAGGGAGAAGAACAUAUACCACCUGGACUGAGGUCCGCGCACCUGCUAGAAGUGGCGUAAUGCUGUAGCGGCCGUCUUGAACACGGACCACCAAA